UACAGAGGUCUCAAGCGUUGUUCGGAUUCAUUGGGCGUAAAGGGUGCGUAGGCGGCGCGGUAAGUCGGGUGUGAAAUCUCGGGGCUUAACUCCGAAACUGCAUUCGAUACUGUGGUGCUUGAGGACUGGAGAGGAGACUGGAAUUUACGGUGUAGCGGUGAAAUGCGUAGAUAUCGUAAGGAAGACCAGUGGCGAAGGCGGGUCUCUGGACAGUUCCUGACGCUGAGGCACGAAGGCCAGGGGGAGCAAAACGGGG
rnacentral:rRNA from 1 species